ACUCCUACGGGAGGCAGCAGUGGGGAAUAUUGCACAAUGGGCGCAAGCCUGAUGCAGCCAUGCCGCGUGUGUGAAGAAGGCCUUCGGGUUGUAAAGCACUUUCAGUAGGGAGGAAGGUAGUGCAGUUAACACCUGCACUAUUUGACGUUACCUACAGAAGAAGCACCGGCUAACUCCGUGCCAGCAGCCGCGGUAAUACGGAGGAUCCAAGCGUUAUCCGGAAUCAUUGGGUUUAAAGGGUCCGUAGGUGGAUGAUUAAGUCAGAGGUGAAAUCCUGCAGCUCAACUGUAGAAUUGCCUUUGAUACUGGUUGUCUUGAAUUAUUGUGAAGUAGUUAGAAUAUGUGGUGUAGCGGUGAAAUGCAUAGAUAUCACAUAGAAUACCGAUUGCGAAGGCAGAUUACUAACAAUACAUUGACACUGAUGGACGAAAGCGUGGGGAGCGAACAGGAUUAGAUACCCUGGUAGGAUAGCGU
rnacentral:rRNA from 1 species